rnacentral:rRNA from 1 species
CCUGGUUGAUCCUGCCAGUAAUCAUAUGCUUGUCUCAAAGAUUAAGCCAUGCAUGUCUAAGUACAUGCCGAAAUAAGGCGAAACCGCGAAUGGCUCAUUAAAUCAGUUAUGGUUCCUUAGAUCGUUUCUUCCUACUUGGAUAACUGUGGCAAUUCUAGAGCUAAUACAUGCAGUGAGCCUGGAGCCCUUUGGGUAACGGGUGCUUUUAUUAGACCAAGAUCGAUCGGGUUUCGGCCCGUAUUGUGUGGUGACUCUGGAUAACUUUGUGCUGAUCGCAUGGCCACGAGCCGGCGACGUUUCUUUCAAGUGUCUGCCUUAUCAACUUUCGAUGGUAGGUUACUUGCUUACCAUGGUUGUUACGGGUAACGGAGAAUCAGGGUUCGAUUCCGGAGAGGGAGCCUGAGAAACGGCUACCACAUCCAAGGAAGGCAGCAGGCGCGCAAAUUACCCACUCCCGGCACGGGGAGGUAGUGACGAAAAAUAACAAUACGGGACUCUUUUGAGGCCCCGUAAUUGAAAUGAGUACACUCUAAAUCCUUUAACGAGGAUCAAUUGGAGGGCAAGUCUGGUGCCAGCAGCCGCGGUAAUUCCAGCUCCAAUAGCGUAUACUAAAGCUGCUGCGGUUAAAAAGCUCGUAGUUGGAUCUCAGUUCCAGACGAGUAGUGCAUCUACCCGAUGCGACGGCUCGGACUGAACAUCAUGCCGGUUCUUUCUUGGUGCACUUCAUUGUGUGCCUCGAGAUGGCCGGUGCUUUUACUUUGAAAAAAUUAGAGUGCUCAACGCAGGCGAGUCGCCUGAAUAAACUUGCAUGGAAUAAUAGAACAAGACCUCGUUUCUGUUCUGUUGGUUUUUGGAAUACGAGGUAAUGAUUAAGAGGGACGGACGGGGGCAUUCGUAUUGCGGCGCUAGAGGUGAAAUUCUUGGACCGUCGCAAGACGAACUACUGCGAAAGCAUUUGCCAAGAAUGUUUUCAUUGAUCAAGAACGAAAGUCAGAGGUUCGAAGGCGAUCAGAUACCGCCCUAGUUCUGACCAUAAACGAUGCCAACCAGCGAUCCGCCUGAGUUACUCAAAUGACUCGGCGGGCAGCUUCCGGGAAACCAAAGUAUUUGGGUUCCGGGGGAAGUAUGGUUGCAAAGCUGAAACUUAAAGGAAUUGACGGAAGGGCACCACCAGGAGUGGAGCCUGCGGCUUAAUUUGACUCAACACGGGAAAACUUACCCGGCCCGGACACUGGGAGGAUUGACAGAUUGAGAGCUCUUUCUUGAUUCGGUGGAUGGUGGUGCAUGGCCGUUCUUAGUUGGUGGAGCGAUUUGUCUGGUUAAUUCCGAUAACGAACGAGACUCUAGCCUAUUAAAUAGGUGCGGGGUUCCCAGCACCUUACAACCUUCUUAGAGGGACAAGCGGCUCCUAGCCGCACGAAACAGAGCAAUAACAGGUCUGUGAUGCCCUUAGAUGUCCGGGGCCGCACGCGCGCUACACUGAAGGAAGCAGCGUGUCUUUAUCCCUGUCUGAAAAGACUGGGUAACCCGUGGAACUUCUUUCGUGAUUGGGAUAGGGGCUUGCAAUUGUUCCCCUUGAACGAGGAAUUCCCAGUAAGCGCGAGUCAUAAGCUCGCGUUGAUUACGUCCCUGCCCUUUGUACACACCGCCCGUCGCUACUACCGA